UUUGGUGAGUAUUAGGUUACACUAAUUCUAUACUGUAUUGGCAUAAGUUAUUUAAUUAUUUUAUCUCCUUUGGCACGCCAGAAAACUUUCAUUGUGGGUUCUAACUCCAGAUUCGCCCUAUGUUUCUAGGUUUGUCAGCACCAUACCUGUGCAUGUGGGUUUCACCAAAGUGGUAAACAUCUAUGACCUGCAUCAUUUCGGGUUUUGCUCCCACAUCCAGCUGACACGCCUUGAUAUAACUGUAACAAUGUCCAAGGCGGCGUUAAACCCAAUUCAGUCACUCAUCUACUGAUCACUCAUCUUAUGCCUGAUACGUCCACAAAACUGUUCAGGUUCAGCAAAAGUGUUUGCGUAAUUAGCAAUCCAUCCCUGCAAUAUUGUCAGAACAGAAUUAAUUCAAACAGGGUAACUGUAUACCAACGAUCAAUACAUUGCCAAUACGGCUUAGCCGUCCAGUGAGGAAUAAUGGUGUAAGAUGACGGGAAUAUCUAGGCAUGUUAAUGAUUUUGUUGUGUUGUUGCUUUGGUGAGGGCAACGGCACGUAUCACACCAUUGUCGAUCAUUCCAACUAGGUGUCUAUGCAUGAUAUUGUUUUCAUCUGAUAUCAAAUACUUGUCGAAGGACGAACGGACAGAUAAAAUGUAAUGACUGAUUUCUUUGUAGAUAUUUGAAUUAAGAGUAAUUAAUGAGGUAUGUUUAUUCGUAUUGGUUAUCAUAACAUUUUAUAUAUGUUCCACUGUACGGGUGUCCCAGCCGCCUUAGGCGCGGCAAUUCGCUGUACAGAGUUGUGUCCCUUGGUCACGCAAGACACCAAUGAUCGUGGGUUCGAAUCCCGGUUUGCCCCGAUUAUGUGUCCAGGUUUGUCAGCCCCAUACCUGUGCACGUGGGUUUCACCAAAGUGGUAAACGUCUAAGAUCUGGCUCUCGGGCUUUCCUCCCACAUCCAGCUGACACGCCUUUAUAUAACUGUAACAAUGUCCAAGGCGGCGUUAAACCCAAUUCACUCACUCACCUGUUAGUAUCUUAUCGUACAUGAUACGAAUUAAGAAAUACAUGUUAACUGUACCAGCCUUUAAGGAUACUAGAGGGUCGAAGGUGGCCCAGUGGCUUAAGAUGCCGAAGUUCGCUGCUAAAUGCAUUGUCGAUUUUACAGUUUGAAUGAAUCACUAUCACAUAGUGAUGAUACCAAGUGUUCGCGAAGUGUGGCGAUCAACCUCGGUAAAUAGCUUGAACACCCUAUGCAAAAACGCUACAACCAUUCUGUUUGAUUUCUGUUUAUUCUCUUGUCUCCACAGGAACCUCAAAAUGAAAGCUGUUCUUGCACUCCUUGUUGUGCUCGUCUUGGUGGGUGUUUCCAUGGCCUACAUCAUCCCAUAUCCCGAACAUCACUUGCCCUAUCCCGAACAUCACUUGCCCUAUCCCGAACAUCACUUGCCCUAUCCCGAACAUCACUUGCCCUAUCCCGAACAUUUGCCCCACAAGCACCAGCCCGGCCACGGAGGUCAAAUUCCUUACCCGGAACCUGAGCAUCGUCCAUGGAACAAAUACUUUGGAUAGAGUGCUGCAAUAAACUCGCUUCCCGAUUUCUGGAAAUGUCUACUCAAGAGUUGCCUACUGUGUGCGAUCGAAUGUUCAUGUCCAAGUAAAGCAAAACGAUAUUGAA